GAGUUUGAUCGUGGCUCAGAUUGAACGCUGGCGGCAGACCUAACACAUGCAAGUCGAGCGGUAGAGAGAAGCUUGCUUCUCUUGAGAGCGGCGGACGGGUGAGUAAUGCCUAGGAAUCUGCCUGGUAGUGGGGGAUAACGCUCGGAAACGGACGCUAAUACCGCAUACGUCCUACGGGAGAAAGCAGGGGACCUUCGGGCCUUGCGCUAUCAGAUGAGCCUAGGUCGGAUUAGCUAGUUGGUGAGGUAAUGGCUCACCAAGGCGACGAUCCGUAACUGGUCUGAGAGGAUGAUCAGUCACACUGGAACUGAGACACGGUCCAGACUCCUACGGGAGGCAGCAGUGGGGAAUAUUGGACAAUGGCGAAAGCCUGAUCCAGCCAUGCCGCGUGUGUGAAGAAGGUCUUCGGAUUGUAAAGCACUUUAAGUUGGGAGGAAGGGCAGUAAAUUAAUACUUUGCUGUUUUGACGUUACCGACAGAAUAAGCACCGGCUAACUCUGUGCCAGCCGCC
rnacentral:rRNA from 1 species